UGGGGAACAUUCAUUUCUUUUUUCUACACUUAUCUGUGCCUACAUAUUUUAGAACUAUUAUAAGCAGCUUUAUUUUGUAUUCAGAGCAGACAGGUUUUUGAGUGGGUGCAACAAUCUUGCACUUGACUGUGGACAAGUUGAUCUUCCUGUGUCCCAACACACUCAUGUCUUCAUCUGGUCUGGAAGUUGAUAUCUCCCUCCCACAAGCCCAGAAUCACUGGCCCACAACAACUCUGAGGUUCAAAGUGAGGAACCUAAGGCUCAGAGAUAAGCUAAUACAAUUCAAGGUUACACAGACAUUGUGUGAUGUGUAUUUAAAUAAAUACCUGUUUUAAGUAAAAAUCAGAACUCUCCCUCAGAUCAAUGUUUCUUAAGGCUUGAAAGCAAGACCACAGGAUGAGGAGGAGACUUUAACCCAAGAAACAAGGGUCACUGAGGAGGCAGCAAUGACUCAGAGGCUUAUUCCCAGGAAGGCUGGGUAGAUGCUGUAACUAAGAAAAAAAGGAAGUCCUGGAGGGCAGUUGUGACAGAAAGAAAACCACAUCCUGGGUCCAGGAGAAAGGAUAUGUUUCCUUCUCUCAUUUCCCUGUAUCCUUCCUUCGUGCUCAUUGUCACAGUGACACUUGACCUAAACUGCACAGUUAGAUGGUGAACAUGCCUCUGCUGAUGUGAGCUGUGUGGGACACAGGAGUCCACGUCUUCCUGAAGCAUUUCCAAGGCCUGGGUGACCAGUGUCCAUAGUGACAGCCCCACAGCAAGGUGUUGAUAGAUAGGCUGAGGGUAAAGGAGACCCCAUGGGGGAGGCUGUUACAGGGACAUGCCUCAGGUCACCCCAUCUGCAAUGAGCAUUUCAGGAAGCCUGAGGGUCUAUUUACUACUCAUCAUGAAAAGGAGAUCUAAGCUCCUGGAGAAGAGCUCUUCCCCUUCGUGAGUAGCCACUGAUGCGACAGCCCCAUGACGGGGAGGGCCAGCCUCUGAGUAUCCAUACCCUGUGUGUCUGAGGACACCAUGAUCUCCUCCUGCUGCACCACUGGGUCCAGAAGAAGAGACACCAUGACCCCCACACUUAGGGCCUGCUCUGUCUUUGUGAGAUGUGAGGAGGGGCAGGGGAAGCCCUGGUCUGAGAGGGACCCCACCCCACGGCCAGGCCCUGGUAUGUCAGGAGACCCCAGGACUUAGGAGGCUCACAAGGAAGAGGGUUCUGCUCAGGAUUCAGAGCCAAAUCUCCCACAAGAACUCUCUCCCAGGGCUGAGUGUGGGUGCAAGAACCCAAGUGCUGGCAGGUGAAUCUCCAGGUAUCCCAUGGGUCAUUCCUGACAGGGGACAAGGGACCUCAUGACAGGCAGCUGGGAUAGAAAGCAGCAGAUCUGGCCUGGCAGAUGGGGACAUAUGAUGAAGUCCUACAGCUGAGUGCUUGGAACUGAGGUUUAGAAGUGUCUUAUGACCAAACCUCUGAUGUCUUUCCAGGAAACCUCCCUGAACCCACCAUCUGGGCUGAGCCUAGCUCAGUGAUUCCCUGAAGAAACUCUGUGAUCAUCCAGUGUCAGGAGACCCUGGGGGCCAAAGAGUUCAGUCUGGAGAGAGAUGGAAGCCCAAUGUUCUGGGGUAGAGAGUUCCCACUGGAUCCCAGGAAGAAGCCAAAUCCUCCAUCACACACAUGAUGGAGACUGAUGCAGGGAGAUAGCACUGUUACUCUCUCAGCCACAGUGGCCAGUGAGAGCACAGUGCUGGUGGUGACUGGUGAGAGGACCCUCAGGGGCCUCAGCCUCAGGCUCUGUCCUCAGAAAGGGUGUUCCCUGGGGCUGUCCUCCCUCUCACAGCCCCGCCCUGGGGACCUGCAGGAAAUGUGAGCCUCAUUUAACACCCUGCCUUCAUUUCUCUUAGGAUCCUACAGCAAACCCGGCCUCUCAGUCCUGCUGAGGCCUGUCAUGACCUCAGGAGGGAACAUGACCCUCCAGUGAGGCUCAGGGCAGAGAUUUGACAAGUUCAUUCUGACAAAGGAAGAACAGAAUCUUUCCUGGACCCUGGACUCACAGCCACACCCCAGUGGGCAGUUCAAGGCCCUGUUCUCACUAGACCCUAUAAUCCUUGACCACCCAUGGACAUUCAGAUGCUGUGGCUCUUACAAAAACAGAACCCAGGUGUGGUAACACCGGAGUGACACCCUGGAGUUCCUGGUCUCAUGUGUGUCUGGGAAGCCCUCCCUCCUGACCCAGCAGGGCCCCACUGUGGCCUCUGGAAAGAACCUGACACUCCAGUGUCACUCUGAUGUUGGCUAUGAUAGAUUUGCUUUGUCCAAGGAGGGGGGACAGGGCCUCCCUCAGAGCACUGUCUUGCAACCCCAGGCUGGGCUCCCUCAGGCCGACUUCCCCCCUGGACACUGUGAGCAGCUCCCAUGGGGGCCAGUAGAGAUGCUACAGUGGACACAACUUCUCCUCUGAGUGGUCACUCCCCAGUGACCCACUGGACAUCCUGGUGGUAGGUGAGGAGCCAGUGGGUUCAGUCUGGGACCCAGAGUCUGCACAGGGCCUGCGGAGGACGUCAGAGGGUGAAGUUCAGAGAGAAGGCGCAGGGCCCCAGGGAGGGAGACAGACAGAAAGAUAGGAAGCGGGAG